rnacentral:lncRNA from 1 species
UCCCGCCUUGGCCUCCUAAAGUGCUGGGAUCACAGGCAUGAGCCACUGUGCCUGGCCUGAUUUAAUUCUUCUUCUUCACCUGAUCCAGUUUUCUCCAUGAAGACUUGAGACCAAGUCACAGUAGGUUUGGACCCAAAUGUAUGCUGCUCCUCUCUCCCCAUGUUCUUUGCUUCUGUUCUUAGCCUGGGGUAAAGUCCUCCUUGUCCUGGGCCAGACAUACUGUCAAGAGAAAGCUUGGUAUUGGACUGACUCCAUUUAAAGAACCUUAUUUUAUGAAUCUGUCCCAGGAAAAUAUAGUAACUCGUUAACAGUUUUGAAUGAUUUGUUCUUUGCUUUUUGGCAAAUUUCAGUUUAUCCUUGCUAGAGGGAAAACAAUAAAAUCCACAAGUAAUUCCCAAUUUUCAACCUAGCCCAGCAAUUUAACCUCCUCACUCACUUUGCCAAGGCUACUAAUAAGUAGCUGUGUGCCUGGCCUGCUUUCCUUCUCUCCUCUCCCUGGUCCUGCCCAUUGGCAGGGAGCCUCUUGUGAGUCAUAAGAUGACCAAGAGAUCACACGGCGAGAGACUGAAAGAAAAGCAGCAAAGCCCUGGGUAAUCAAGGCCCUAAACGGAAAGUGUCAGGAUCUUGGGGAUCGUAUUGUAUAAAAUGGAUGAAAACAGAGCUAUUGGGUUUGAAGCACUCCUGAACCCUCUCAUGGAACCCUAUGUCUUCCUGGAGUCUACAGAGCUAUUGGGUUUGAAGCACUCCUGAACCGUCUAGUAGAACCCUAUGUCUUCCUGGAGUCUACAGAGCUAUUGGGUUUGAAGCACUCCUGAACCGUCUAGUAGAACCCUAUGUCUUCCUGGAGUUUACAGAAAAAGAGACUCAGGGAUUUUCCCAAAGCACACUGCAAGUUAGGGGCAGGAAUGACAGCCCAGACCUUCUGGUUUCCAGUCCAGGGCUCAACUGCCUAAACAGUGGCAUCUCUUCAGGCAGGCCCUGUCAGAGGCAGCUCCCAAGUUGUGAUGUUGCCACCAGUAUUAGAACACAGUGGUCUCCAAAAUCUUGCCAAUGAAUCCUCCAAGAGACGGGGGUUUCACCAUGUUCGCCAGGCUG